GACGUAGGGCGCGAGCGUUUGUCCGGAUUUAUUGGGCGUAAAGAGCUCGUAGGCGGCUUGUUGCGUCGGCUGUGAAAACCCGCAGCUCAACUGUGGGCUUGCAGCUGAUACGGGCAGGCUAGAAUUCGGUAGGGGAGACUGGAAUUCCUGGUGUAGCGGUGAAAUGCGCAGAUAUCAGGAGGAACACCGGUGGCGAAGGCGGGUCUCUGGGCCGAUAUUGACGCUGGAGGAGCGAAAGCGUGGGGAGCAAACAGG
rnacentral:rRNA from 1 species